CUGCGGUCUUAUUUUGUUGGUUUGGAGACCAAGGUAAUGAUUAAUAGGGACAGUUGGGGGCAUUAGUAUUUCGGAGCUAGAGGUGAAAUUCUUUGAUUUCCGAAAGACUGACUAGUGCGAAAGCAUUUGCCAAGGAUGUUUUCAUUAAUCAAGAACGAAAGUUAGGGGAUCGAAGACGAUCAGAUACCGUCGUAGUCUUAACCGUAAACUAUGCCGACUAGGGCUUGGUGGGGCUCAGAAACAUGACUCCAUCAGGACCUUGAGAGAAAUCAAAGUUUUUGGGUUCUGGGGGGAGUAUGGUCGCAAGGCUGAAACUUAAAGGAAUUGACGGAAGGGCACCACCAGGAGUGGAGCCUGCGGCUUAAUUUGACUCAACACGGGGAAACUCAC
rnacentral:rRNA from 1 species